UACGGAGGGGACUAGCGUUGUUCGGAAUUACUGGGCGUAAAGCGCACGUAGGCGGAUUUGUAAGUCAGGGGUGAAAUCCCGGGGCUCAACCUCGGAACUGCCUUUGAUACUGCAAAUCUCGAGUCCGGAAGAGGUGAGUGGAAUUCCUAGUGUAGAGGUGAAAUUCGUAGAUAUUCGCAAGAACACCAGUGGCGAAGGCGGCUCACUGGCCCGAUACUGACGCUGAGGUGCGAAAGCGUGGGGAGCAAGCAGG
rnacentral:rRNA from 1 species